rnacentral:rRNA from 1 species
CCCUUAGAUGUUCUGGGCCGCACGCGUGCUACACUGAGUAAAUCAAUGGGUAAGGGAACACGAAAGUGCAACCUAAUCUUGAAAUUUGCUCGUGAUGGGGAUCGACGGUUGCAAUUUUCCGUCGUGAACGAGGAAUACCUUGUAGGCGCGUGUCAUCAUCACGCGCCGAAUACGUCCCUGCCCUUUGUACACACCGCCCGUCGCUCCUACCGAUUGAGUGAUCCGGUGAGGCUCUGGGACCUGGACGGAAAGAGCGUUUCGCUGUUUCUGCUCGGAAAACUCAGUCGAACCUUAUCAUUUAGAGGAAGGAGAAGUCGUAACA